UACGAAGGGGGCUAGCGUUGUUCGGAUUUACUGGGCGUACAGCGCGCGCAGGCGGUUGCGUAUGUGAGCGGUGACAUCCGCGGGCUCAACCCGCGGCGGCCCGCUUACACAGCGCGACUGGAGGCAGGGAGAGGGAUGUGGAAUACCCCGGUGGAGCGGUGAAAUGCGUAGAGAUCGGGUGGAACACCAGCGGCGAAGGCGGCAUCCUGGCCCUGUACUGACGCUGAGGCGCGAUAGCGUGGGGAGCAAACGGG
rnacentral:rRNA from 1 species